GGAUGGAAUUACAGCCUUUUAAUUUACAACUUGAUGUCACUGCCACUCUCCCCAGCUCCAUCUUCAUCCCGCCGAGUCCCAUCUUCCUUCUCACCAGCCUGGUAUUUUUGAACGUACAUUUGAAUUGCAACAGUCGGCAUCAAGAUGGUGGGAAAUAGCAGUUGAGAUUUCUCAACUAGAAGAUUGAAAAGUCUAAGGCUGGACAAACAAUCAAACAAUGAGAGGUUAAGCCUGAGUUUGGUCUUCUGUUACUUGGAACUGAAAUAAUGUGCAUUGACACACCUAACAAGUCAAAGUAUUGUCUUUUGCUGGUCUGCUCUGGUCCUGGAAACAUCCACUGAUAGAAUCACUGGUCUGGGACAAAUUGUGGUACCCAAAGACCUCAGGAAGCACUUAGAAGCAUUACUCCUGAAGUCCCAUUCGUCCCAAGAAGAGUUGCUGGCUGGAGGAGACAAUAUGUAAACAUGUCAUGACAAGAUGGUGUGCCAUCAAGUCUGAGAUAAUCUGUUAUGGCAACGUAAGAAGCUAAUACAAGAUGCAGGAGUGAAGCAGCGAGGUCUGGAAAAAAGCUAUUGCAAAAAUACAGUCUCAGCAAGGGGAUAGAAGGAGCCCUGCAUUCUCUCCUGACACGCUUGACAAAAACAAACCCAACUAGAGGUCGCCAGCAACGGAGGGGCAUCCUGUGUAAGGACUUGGAAGAGGAGUUGUAUUGUCACCCCCUGGCCACUAGAGGACUUCAUCCUAUUUCAGUGGAGGAAGGCCUGUUAGGGGCCUCUCUAUACUGGUGGAGGUUUGGUCGUCUUCCCUUCACUUGAUUUCUGCCAGUGGCCUUAUGUGAGGAUGCUUCAUGAGAUGUCAAGUAUCCGAGGAGUCUGUGACACAACCAUCCAGUGGUGAAUUGCUAAGGAGCUCCUCUCCAGCCUGCUUGACUCUGAGGUUAAAAGAGUCUUCAUGUUGAGCACAAGUCAUCUCUUUGCACUUUCACCAGUUGUGUCCAUCUGAAAAACACAGAGGUCUGUCUCACUUCUGCAUCACAGUCCCUUCCAAGAAGCUCCACAAUGGGUAAGGCACAAUAAAAUGGCUUAUAUUCAACAAACACAUAA
rnacentral:lncRNA from 1 species